rnacentral:tRNA from 1 species
UAGAAUAUAGUUAAAUUGGUAUAACGCUAUUUACCUCGUAGAUAGUAUUAUUAGUUCAACUCUAAUUAUUCUAU